CGGCGUGCUUAACACAUGCAAGUCGAGCGGUAAGGCUCCUUCGGGGGUACACGAGCGGCGAACGGGUGAGUAACACGUGAGUAAUCUGCCCUCAGCUUUGGGAUAAGCACUCGAAAGGGUGUCUAAUACCGGAUAUGACAGCCUUACGCAUGUAAUGGUUGUGGAAAGUUUUUUCGGCUGGGGAUGUGCUCGCGGCCUAUCAGCUUGUUGGUGGGGUAAUGGCCUACCAAGGCUUUGACGGGUAGCCGGCCUGAGAGGGUGACCGGUCACACUGGGACUGAGACACGGCCCAGACUCCUACGGGAGGCAGCAGUGGGGAAUAUUGGACAAUGGGCGGAAGCCUGAUCCAGCAACGCCGCGUGAGGGAUGACGGCCUUCGGGUUGUAAACCUCUUUCAGUAUCGACGAAGCCUUUGGGUGACGGUAGGUACAGAAGAAGCACCGGCCAACUACGUGCCAGCCGCCGCAGUAAUAC
rnacentral:rRNA from 1 species